rnacentral:rRNA from 1 species
AUGAACUACGAAACAGUCGCUCACAAGACGGCAGCACAGACCUCUGCGUAUCGCCUUCUCCUCUGCAUCCUCACAUAUAGCAUAGAGAAAACAGUUUCUUGCGUCCUCUCUUUUGGUCACAAGAAAGAGAUGGGUUCAGGUUCAACCACCGUCAGACUCAUGGCCUUCGCCUCCGCUCUCGUGCUACUGACGCACUGCAUUCACGCGGCAGCGGCACCAAGCUUUCAGCAGAAACAGGCGGCGGCCAAGACGUGGUGCGUGGCCAAGCCUUCGACCGGCGAGGCGGCGCUGAGGGCCAACCUGGAGUUCGCCUGCUCCGAGAGCGACUGCAGCGCGAUCCAGGGCACGGGGGGCUGCUCCGCGCACAACGGCGGCGUGCUGCUGUCGCGGGCGUCGGUGGCCAUGAACGCCUACUACCAGGCCAGGGGGAGGAACACCUGGAACUGCUUCUUCAACGCCACCGGCAUCAUCAGCAUCACCGACCCCAGUCUAGGCACUUGCAAGUAUGCAUGA